AAAAGAGCAGAUCCUGGCUCAAGAUGCCUGCGCUACGUCCUUGGCUCUGCCUUCAGCUCUCUGAAUAGCUUUGGCUCUACCUGUCGGCCAAACACUGCUUAUUUUCGAUAAGACGCUCAAGUGAACUCCAAUGCGGCAAUGCCUGGACUUCAGCAGAACCAGCCACCAGAUGAAAUCCUGACACUACCAAUGAGAAUUUUGACGUUGGAGUCAACGGGGCCAGGAUUUCACCAUGCACGGGAUGAAGUAGCUGCUUUGCCCCAGGAUGCAGCUCCAGACAGUGAGCAAGAGAGCUGGCUGGUGGUCUUUGGACACAACAUUUUAUUUGCUGGAAAAUGCUGUUUUGGUGGAACCAAAGCAGUGUUCAGGACCAAGCUGGUUUUUAACAAGAGUCCUAGAUGGAAAUGAAUGUUGAAAAGUGCUCUGAAGUGAUCAAAAGGGGAUGGUUUCUAAAUUUUUCAUGUUUGGAGUCAAAACAAUUUUUUUAUUGAAAAAUAAUUUGAUUUAUAGUUAUAAAAAAUGUGCAAGGUAAAAUGAAAUGUUUUGAGAUCAUCUCAAUAAA